rnacentral:rRNA from 1 species
CGUCGAUCACAUCGUGGCGGAUGCCUUGAUCACGCAGAUAUACUUUGAGCCGAUCAUGGAAAAAGCCCAGCAAAUCAUCUGCAUCCGCACCGUCAUACCCUUGGGCAAAAACUGUCGUUAGACCACAGCUCAACCGGUUUUCCAGCAACAGUCGGAUCACUCCUAACGCGGCCCGACGCAGCGCAAACGGAUCUUUCGAUCCGGUCGGCUUUUCGUUAAUCGCCCAGAAGCCGGUCAGCUUGUCGAUCUUCUCGGCCAGUGCCACGGCAACGGAAACGGGGGCAGUCGGCACAUCGUCUGACGGCCCCAGCGGCGCGUAGUGCUCCUCGGCUGCUGCCGCGACCUCCUCGCUGUGGCCCGCGGCGAGUGCAUAGUAGCGGCCCAUCAGGCCCUGGAGUUCGGGGAAUUCAUAGACCAUCUCGGAGGAAAGAUCCGCCUUGGCGAUCCGUGCGGCAUCCUCGGCUGCUCGCGGAUCAGCACCCCGUCGUUCUGAAGGCGCUCGAGAUUGGCUUUGGCCUGGGCGUACACCUCGUCGCCGUAUGGAUUGGUGCCUUCGGGAACUCUGUGACAGGUGUUGCAUGGCUGUCGUCAGCUCGUGUCGUGAGAUGUUGGGUUAAGUCCCGUAACGAGCGCAACCCUUAUCCUUAUUUGCCAGCACGUAAUGGUGGGAACUCUAAGGAGACUGCCGGUGACAAACCGGAGGAAGGAGAGGAUGACGUCAAGUCAUCAUGGCCCUUACGGCCUGGGCUACACACGUGCUACAAUGGACAGUACAGAGGGCCGCAAUACCGCGAGGUGGAGCAAAUCCCAAAAAACUGUUCGUAGUCCGGAUCGGAGUCUGCAACUCGACUCCGUGAAGUCGGAAUCGCUAGUAAUCGCGAAUCAGCAUGUCGCGGUGAAUACGUUCCCGGGCCUUGUACACACCGCCCGUCACACCAUGGGAGUGGGUUGCAAAAGAAGUGGCUAGUCUAACCUUCGGGAGGACGGUCACCACUUUGUGAUUCAUGACUGGGGUGAAGUCGUAACAAGGUAGCCCUAGGGGAACCUGGGGCUG